rnacentral:tRNA from 1 species
UGCAGGAGUGAUGGAAUUGGUAGACUUGGGAGAUUUAGAAUCUCCUGUCCUAGUGACGUGAGGGUUCAAGUCCCUCCUUCUGUAUCAU